rnacentral:rRNA from 1 species
GAUCCUGGCUCAGGAUGAACGCUAGCGGCAGGCCUAACACAUGCAAGUCGAGGGGUAGUUACUUUCGGGUAAUGAGACCGGCGCACGGGUGCGUAACGCGUAUGCAAUCUACCUUUUACAGGGGAAUAGCCCAGAGAAAUUUGGAUUAAUACCUCAUGGUAUAUAUCAUUCGCAUGUUUGAUAUAUUAAAGUUCCAACGGUAAAAGAUGGGCAUGCGUCCUAUUAGCUAGAUGGUAAGGUAACGGCUUACCAUGGCAACGAUAGGUAGGGGUCCUGAGAGGGAGAUCCCCCACACUGGUACUGAGACACGGACCAGACUCCUACGGGAGGCAGCAGUGAGGAAUAUUGGGCAAUGGGCGCUAGCCUGACCCAGCCAUGCCGCGUGCAGGAAGACGGUCCUAUGGAUUGUAAACUGCUUUUGUACGGGAAGAAACCCUAUUACGUGUAAUAGAUUGACGGUACCGUACGAAUAAGGAUCGGCUAACUCCGUG